UGAAGGUGCGUGAGUGACCGUGAUUGUGAGGGACUGGAGGGAGGUGGGCAAGGUGUGGAGCUGGAGCGCCUCCACAGGCUCUAUGUAAGACGCUCAGAUGUUUGUCUUGGUGGUGGAAAGCUAUCGAUGACACGAUCAGAUUUGGUAGAAUGAUCCCUGUGGCAGAGAUGUGGACAGGGCUCUGAGGGGUGAUACUGCAGCCAGCAAGGUCACUAUCAGCCACGUGUGUUGUCAUCAUCCUGUGGCAAGGCUACAACUAGGAGCUGAGUGGAUGAGACUGGGCAGGCUGUGGUCCAGGGGCCUCUGAGGCUGGAGGAAGGUAGACCUAGACACAAGGCUGAGCUGCCUGUGUGGCUGGAGAGGGUGCUGGAGGCAGAGACACCCUUGGGUGCUCUUCGAGUCUGGUCUUUGUGGGUGUGAGGCUUCUUCUCCACUAGCAAGAUCCUCACCUGCCUAGUUCAGAGCCUGCGGGUCAGAAGCAGCAUCUGGAAUCUCUCCCAGUAUGGUCAUGAGAUAAGCUCCCUCCCAAUUCCAGAGCUUGGAACCCAGGGAUCACAUGAGUUGCCAAAUCUGCAGCUCUGGACACAGCACCUGCUCCUCCCACAGGAACUUCCGGGAAAGAGGGUCGUGGUUGCUGGCUUCUACGGAAGAGGAGCCAGAGGCUCAGCUGGGCAGAAAGCAGGGAUGGGUCCUGCGAAUCUGAGGAAAGUAAAGCCUGAGAGAAGAGGAUUUGAGCCCCAGCUCUCCCAAGUGACUGUGACCAGGUCACCCCCCCAUGCUGCCCAAAUGGAGAACUCCGAGGACACCAGCCCAAGGCAGGGGAGCAAGAGGCUCUGCAGCCCCUUCACUUCUCUCAUUAGGAUCGAGGCCCAGGGCUUUCCAGCCGCUUUGGAAGAGGCAGCCUGGCAUCCUCGACCCUCUGCGAUCAUCCUCCCUGCGUCUGUGGCCCGUUCCCCACCCCAGCCUAGACUCCGGCUCCUCGCUCGUCUCCAAACGCCCCCUCCCUCUCGGCUGCACCUGUUCGCUCAUCCCACGUCCGUCCCGCGUCCAUCCCGCGUCCGUCCCGCGCGUCUCCCCAUCUGCUCGGAGUGCCCGCCGCCCUUCUCUGGCUGCUGCCUCUCUUCCCACUUCAUCCUCAGCCUGUCUCCUUCCUCACUUAGGAGACGCUGUGUUUCACCUCGACUCUCAGUUAUUUGUGCCCACGUGAUAGGAGUCAGAGGGCCUGGUUCGCACCCCUGCUCCCAACAGCCCUGAACGUGGGCGCACAGUCCUUAAGCUCCCGAAGCCUCCCUGCCUCAUUCCUGAACUAAGGUACCCGCCAGAUAGAGGGGCCACGCACCUGUGCUGGCGAGCCUGCGCGGCGCCCUCGUCUAAUCACCAGCAGCGCCCCCUGCACUCCCAGAGGGGCCCAGUCUGUAUGCACGUCACACGCUCACCGCCCGCCCUGCUUAUGAGGACUGCGUGAGAUGCUCGGUGACACGGCCCACGAGGAGCUCCUCCGCGGAGCCCUGGCGCCCAGGGCCUAGUCCUCGGUCACCUGUCCCUCCUGGCACCCUGAGUUCCUCGAGGGGGACACAUCCCCGAUUCAGCGUCGCUGCCACGUGAGCAGCCACUUACCCAAGAGCUUAGAGGACAAUCAAGUGCAGUGUGUGCUGAAAUGAUGUGGAGGGGGACUCUGGAGGGGGACUCUGGCUUUCGUGGCUCACAAGCCCAUCAGCAGGGGCGUUACUCCCCACCCUUUGUGGCUGGGCUGGGCUGGGCCGGGCCGGCGGCAGCGCAGAGCCACACUCUGUGCGCCUACUACGUGUGAAGCUUUGUUCCUGCCACGGAAUCCCCGCUCCAGCCGAGAGGUGGCCGGUGCCCAAGGGCUGUGGCCCUCGCGGAGCAGCUCCGGCCCAGGGCCUGCGGAACAGGGCCCGGCAGUGGUGGCGGAGGGACGGACGAGGUUGCAGGGAGGAGGUGAGAGGCGGCCGGGAGUGGGUGCCGUAAAAGCCACGGCAGCCUGGGAUCCCUGGGUGGCCCAGGGGUGAGCACCUGCCUUGGGCUCAGGGCAUGAUCCCAGGGUCCCGGGAUCGAGUCCCACGUCGGGCUCCCUGCAUGGAGUCUGCUUCUCCCUCUGCCUGGGUCUCUGCCUCUCUCUCUGUGUCUCUCGUGAAUAAAUAAAUAAAAUCUUAAGGGGGGAUAAAAAAA
rnacentral:lncRNA from 12 species